rnacentral:rRNA from 1 species
GACGAACGCUGGCGGCGUGCUUAACACAUGCAAGUCGUACGGUAAGGCCCUUUCGGGGGUACACGAGUGGCGAACGGGUGAGUAACACGUGAGUAACCUGCCCACAACUUUGGGAUAACGCUAGUAAACUGGUGCUAAUACUGGAUAUGUGCUCCUUCUGCAUGGUGGGGGUUGGAAAGCUCCGGCGGUUGUGGAUGGACUCGCGGCCUAUCAGCUUGUUGGUGGGGUAGUGGCCUACCAAGGCGGCGACGGGUAGCCGGCCUGAGAGGGUGACCGGCCACAUUGGGACUGAGAUACGGCCCAGACUCCUACGGGAGGCAGCAGUGGGGAAUAUUGCACAAUGGGCGCAAGCCUGAUGCAGCAACGCCGCGUGCGGGAUGACGGCCUUCGGGUUGUAAAACGCUUUCAGCAGGGACGAAGCUUUUUGUGACGGUACCUGCAGAAGAAGUACCGGCUAACUACGUG